GACGAACGCUGGCGGCGUGCUUAACACAUGCAAGUCGAACGGUGAAGCGCCUUCCUUUUUGGUGGGUGUGGAUGAGUGGCGAACGGGUGAGUAACACGUGAGUAACCUGCCCCCUUCUUCUGGAUAACCGCAUGAAAGUGUGGCUAAUACGGGAUAUUCUGGGUCUGUCGCAUGAUGGGUCUGGGAAAGAUAUUGUUUCGGUGGGGGAUGGGCUCGCGGCCUAUCAGCUUGUUGGUGGGGUGAUGGCCUACCAAGGCGGUGACGGGUAGCCGGCCUGAGAGGGUGGACGGUCAUACUGGGACUGAGACACGGCCCAGACUCCUACGGGAGGCAGCAGUGGGGAAUAUUGCACAAUGGGCGCAAGCCUGAUGCAGCGACGCCGCGUGAGGGAUGGAGGCCUUCGGGUUGUGAACCUCUUUCGCCAGUGAAGCAGGCCUGCCUCGUUUGUGGGUGGGUUGACGGUAGCUGGAUAAGAAGCGCCGGCUAACUACGU
rnacentral:rRNA from 1 species